GGCUUCAAUGGUCGACCCGGAGCAAGAGGAGACCCUGGGCCUCCUGGACCUACGGUGAAGCCUGGCGAACUCAUUAGGAACAUGUCAGCUGUUCUCAAGCCAGUCCAUGAGCCCAAACGCUGACAUUUAUAGAUUACAUUAGAUUACAUUAGAUUACAUUAGAUCUAGGAGUAGUGUAAUGUACAGUGGAAGUACCAAGACAAUGCACUGUCGUAAGCAUCUAACCAGAAACGCAAAAGUAAUAGUAUUUUCUACAGAUAAGUAAUAGUAUUAUCUACAAAUAAGUAAUAGUAUUAUCUACAAAUAAGUAAAAGUAUUAUCUACAGAUAAGUGCAGGUCUGAGUAAGUAGCACUACAGAAGCACAACAGGAAGUUUGUGCUUUCCAAUCGAAUUACUAAUUCUAUCCGGCAAACUAACUCCGCCUAACGAGAUGGCACCCAACUCUGAAAUCCAACACGUCUGAGAGUGAGGGGACCCGUUGUGGGCAUGGUGGCCAUGCUUAAGUAUGGAGAGGAAUCUGGCGCAGUGGUGGGUUUACGUAUCACCAGCAAACAGAUAAACAGCGAGAAGCAGCUUGGUCUCAGAGUAGUCCUAGAUGGUUCCAUAUCCAAGAGUCACGUACGCUCAAGUAUGUGGCACAGCUGCCAUAUAGGGAAAAUAUUUUCAGUUUUAUUUGAAGGUAUUUGAAGGUAUUUGAGGAUAUUUGAAGGUAUUUGAGGGCUGAAUUGGAGGAUCUCGGUUGUUUGACCUGGUUUUCUUGACAUUUCAUGGUUCUGUUCUUUCAGGGUGAACUUGGACCUGUUGGGAAAGAUGGGCGUCCAGGUGAAGUGGUGAGUGUCUCUGGUGGUGUGUGUGUGUGUGGGUGUGUCUGUUUUUGUGUGUGUGUGUGUGUGUGUGUGUGUGUGUGUGUGGUGUGUGUGUGUGUGUGUGUGUGUGUGUGUGUGUGUGUGUGUGUGUGUAUGUUGCAUUGUUAAGUGAAUACUUGCUAAUGCUAAUGCUAAUGCUAAUUUCUCUCUCUCUGUCUCUGCCUCUUUAUUGUUUUCCUUCCCUGUCCAUCACAUUUUCCUUCUCUCUUUCUCUUUCUCUUUCUCUUUCUCUUUCUCUCUCUCUCUCUCUCUCUCUCUCUCUCUCUCUCUCUCUCACACACACACACACACAAACACACUCACACACACACACACACACACACACACACACACACACACCACACACACACACACACACACACACACACACACACACACACACACACACACACACACACACACACACACACACACACACACACACACACACACACACACACACACAUAGGGCCCAGUUGGUAAUAAAGGUGACAGAGGUCGACCUGGUCGUGGUGGUGAACCUGGUGAGUCUGGCAACGACGGACCUACCGGCCAAAUGGGACGCAACGUAAGUAUUUUACCAUCGCCCUGAGAGUUGUUAGGAACUCACAUGAUUUAUAUCUCUAUUACAUU
rnacentral:lncRNA from 1 species